rnacentral:rRNA from 1 species
UACGGGGGGGCGAGCGUUGUUCGGAAUUACUGGGCGUAAAGGGUUUGUAGGUGGUCUGCUAAGUCAGACGUGAAAUCCCUCAGCUUAACUGGGGAACUGCGUCUGAUACUGGCGGACUUGAGGACAGGAGAGGAACGCGGAAUUCCAGGUGUAGCGGUGAAAUGCGUAGAUAUCUGGAGGAACACCGGUGGCGAAGGCGGCGUUCUGGACUGUUUCUGACACUGAAAAACGAAAGCCAGGGGAGCAAACGGG